AUGGCAAUCGAGUCACUCCUGAAUGCGGAGAAGCAGUGUUGCCUGGCUGGCGAUGUGGCCAGCACUAGGAAGGACAUCGUCGAGCUCUCCUUCAAGGAUGGCGCCUGGAAGACGCUUAACUGCCAGAUCGUUGUCCUCUCUAAGAGGAGGAGGGCCAGCUCAAGUAGAGAAUGGCGUCACCGGGGAGGACGGCAGCGGCGUGCCCGUGUUCGCGGAGUACAACCUCGACGAGCUCCGCGCCUCCACCGACGGCUUCGCAACGGACCACAUCGUCUUCGAGCACUGCGAGAAGGAGCCUAA
rnacentral:rRNA from 1 species